UGAGUAACCUGCCCUUAACUCUGGGAUAAGCCUGGGAGACUGGGUCUAAUACCGGAUAUGACUCCUCAUCGCAUGGUGGGGGGUGGAAAGCUUUAUUGUGGUUUUGGAUGGACUCGCGGCCUAUCAGCUUGUUGGUGGGGUAACGGCUCACCAAGGCGACGACGGGUAGCCGGCCUGAGAGGGUGACCGGCCACACUGGGACUGAGACACGGCCCAGACUCCUACGGGAGGCAG
rnacentral:rRNA from 1 species